UACGUAGGGGGCUAGCGUUGUUCGGAAUUAUUGGGCGUAAAGCGCACGUAGGCGGCUUAUUAAGUCAGGGGUGAAAUCCUGGAGCUCAACUCCAGAACUGCCUUUGAUACUGAUGAGCUUGAGUUCGGGAGAGGUGAGUGGAACUGCGAGUGUAGAGGUGAAAUUCGUAGAUAUUCGCAAGAACACCAGUGGCGAAGGCGGCUCACUGGCCCGAUACUGACGCUGAGGUGCGAAAGCGUGGGGAGCAAACAGG
rnacentral:rRNA from 1 species